rnacentral:rRNA from 1 species
CAGUUAUUGCGAUGGAGGGACGGAGAAGGCUAGGCCAGCUUGGCGUUGGUUGUCCAAGUUUAAGGUGGUAGGCUGAAAUCUUAGGCAAAUCCGGGAUUUCAAGGCCGAGAGCUGAUGACGAGUUGCCAUUAGGCGACGAAGUGGUUGAUGCCAUGCUUCCAAGAAAAGCUCCUAAGCUUCAGAUAACUGGGAACCGUACCCCAAACCGACACAGGUGGUUAGGUAGAGAAUACCAAGGCGCUUGAGAGAACUCGGGUGAAGGAACUAGGCAAAAUGGCACCGUAACUUCGGGAGAAGGUGCGCCGGUGAGGGUGAAGGACUUGCUCCGUAAGCUCAUGCCGGUCGAAGAUACCAGGCCGCUGCGACUGUUUAUUAAAAACACAGCACUCUGCAAACACGAAAGUGGACGUAUAGGGUGUGACGCCUGCCCGGUGCCGGAAGGUUAAUUGAUGGGGUUAGCGCAAGCGAAGCUCUUGAUCGAAGCCCCGGUAAACGGCGGCCGUAACUAUAACGGUCCUAAGGUAGCGAAAUUCCUUGUCGGGUAAGUUCCGACCUGCACGAAUGGCGUAACGAUGGCGGCGCUGUCUCCACCCGAGACUCAGUGAAAUUGAAAUCGCUGUGAAGAUGCAGUGUAUCCGCGGCUAGACGGAAAGACCCCGUGAACCUUUACUAUAGCUUUGCACUGGACUUUGAAUUUGCUUGUGUAGGAUAGGUGGGAGGCUUUGAAGUGGGGACGCCAGUUCUCAUGGAGCCAUCCUUGAAAUACCACCCUGGCAACUUUGAGGUUCUAACUCAGGUCCGUUAUCCGGAUCGAGGACAGUGUAUGGUGGGUAGUUUGACUGGGGCGGUCUCCUCCCAAAGAGUAACGGAGGAGUACGAAGGUGCGCUCAGACCGGUCGGAAAUCGGUCGUAGAGUAUAAAGGCAAAAGCGCGCUUGACUGCGAGACAAACACGUCGAGCAGGUACGAAAGUAGGUCUUAGUGAUCCGGUGGUUCUGUAUGGAAGGGCCAUCGCUCAACGGAUAAAAGGUACUCCGGGGAUAACAGGCUGAUACCGCCCAAGAGUUCAUAUCGACGGCGGUGUUUGGCACCUCGAUGUCGGCUCAUCACAUCCUGGGGCUGAAGCCGGUCCCAAGGGUAUGGCUGUUCGCCAUUUAAAGUGGUACGCGAGCUGGGUUUAGAACGUCGUGAGACAGUUCGGUCCCUAUCUGCCGUGGACGUUUGAGAUUUGAGAGGGGCUGCUCCUAGUACGAGAGGACCGGAGUGGACGAACCUCUGGUGUUCCGGUUGUCACGCCAGUGGCAUUGCCGGGUAGCUAUGUUCGGAAGAGAUAACCGCUGAAAGCAUCUAAGCGGGAAACUUGCCUCAAGAUGAGAUCUCACUGGGAUCUUGAAUCCCCUGAAGGGCCGUCGAAGACUACGACGUUGAUAGGUUGGGUGUGUAAGCGCUGUGAGGCGUUGAGCUAACCAAUACUAAUUGCCCGUGAGGCUUGACCAU